CUCAGACUGAAUUACCCCACCAGCUUUCUUGAUUUUCCAGCUUGCAGGUGGCAGAUAAUGAGACUUCUCAGCCUCCAUAAUCAUAAUACCACUGGAAGGUCCAAGAUCCAGGGGCCCACAUCUGCCAAGGGCUUUCAUGCCGUGUCAUCCCAUGAGGAAAAGCAGAGGUCUGAAGCAUAGAAUGACUAGUCACUGAAUCAGAUUAGAAAACAUAAUGAACACUGCAGGAGCACUGUUGUACCAAGGAGCCUGACGGUCAAAGAAGAACUGCACUUGAUCUUACGCACAAUUAAGCACAGCACCAGACGCUAAGUACCCCAGGGUGUCAGGGUUACGAAGAGAGGCACAAAUUACCCAGACAUUGGAUGGAACGUUUUACUCAUUUAGCAAGAGACAGAGCAGGUUUAGCCUUCAUAGUAAGCCUUGGUCCCCCAUGGCUAUUGCCUCUUCUCCACAAACUUCAUGUACUGCAGGCAAGGCAGUGGCUUCUGCAGGAAUAAGAAGAGGAAUGAUUAAUUCUCCCAACUUCCUUCUGAGACCAGGGAUGAUCUUAUCCAACAACCUGGGAUGAACAAGCAAAGACCCCACAAGGCUAAUUUUCAGAGCUAGUAAAUGAGAGAAGAGAACACAAGGAAAAUGAAGAAAGACAAAAUAUUAGCAUCUCUGACAUUUACAGAAUAGAUGGGAGAGAAGAACCUGGAGGAAAGCUGUAAAGGGUACAUCAGAGAGUUAAGAUGAAAAUCAAGGGCAUAUGAUACUAAGAAGGAGUUUCUGGAAUGGGAAAGGGGUCAAAGGUUUAGAAUUCCACUGCCAUAGAGGAACAUCUGGAGACUCUCAAUGACUCUGACAAGGUCAGUUUUACUGAUAUGAAAGUGAUGGCGGGAAGCCAAAAGUCUGACAGCAAUAGAUUGAAUUAGUGAAUAGGUGAUUUCUGGGCUAAGCUUUGAAGGAGAGUAACAAAGUGGGAGAAUGAUUGCAAAGAGUAUGUUAUCAUGAGGUGGCUUUGUCAUCACCAGCAUCUUCAUUUCCUAGACCGAAGCUCUUAAUGUUUAGUUUUUUGUUCAAUAUAUAGCCGUUUUUCUGAAUUCUGCCCACCUUGGCC